rnacentral:rRNA from 1 species
CAGUCGCCACGGUAAUACAGAGGGUGCGAGCGUUAAUCGGAUUUACUGGGCGUAAAGCGUGCGUAGGCGGCUAAUUGAGUCGGAUGUGAAAUCCCCGAGCUUAACUUGGGAAUUGCAUUCGAUACUGGUUAGCUAGAGUGUGGGAGAGGAUGGUAGAAUUCCAGGUGUAGCGGUGAAAUGCGUAGAGAUCUGGAGGAAUACCGAUGGCGAAGGCAGCCAUCUGGCCUAACACUGACGCUGAGGUACGAAAGCAUGGGGAGCAAACAGGAUUAGAUACCCCCGUAGUCCCUGUCUCUUAUAU